UACGUAGGGUGCGAGCGUUGUCCGGAAUUAUUGGGCGUAAAGAGCUCGUAGGCGGUUUGUCGCGUCGGGAGUGAGAACCCAGGGCUUAACCCUGGGCUGGCUUCCGAUACGGGCAGACUAGAGGUAUGCAGGGGAGAACGGAAUUCCUGGUGUAGCGGUGAAAUGCGCAGAUAUCAGGAGGAACACCGGUGGCGAAGGCGGUUCUCUGGGCAUUACCUGACGCUGAGGAGCGAAAGUGUGGGGAGCGAACAGG
rnacentral:rRNA from 1 species